UCUACGGUCGUAUUACGAUUUAGAAAUUUAGCUGUACCAUACCUUAAGUCCUAGUCUGAGGAGGCAAUUCGCCGACCUGCUGCAACUUUUGAAUAGCGAUUUGCUGAUUAUGCUUCGUUUCGGCCACUUCUGCUUCCGAAGCCUCCCGUUUGGGAGCUUCCGAAGUACUCGUUCCAUAGCCCCGACUCCCAGAGCCUGUCAACCUGGCUGCCUGCCAAACACCAGCGAUGCCUCUGCUUUUUAAUCCGGUAUGACAAUGCGGACAAAGAAGCUUCUGACGUCGAAGUUCACAGACACGAAACGGCGCAAAAGCUUCAACUGCUUGAGAAUACUACUAAAAACGAUCGUUCACAACUUUGGGCUGGGAUUGCGGAUGUCGUUCGCCGGGAUGUGUUCAUGAAAGAUUUUUUGACACGCUACUUCGAAUUGCCCCGCUGUUUGAUCGUCUCGACGAAAAAACGUCGUGGAAGCAUUUCCAAAAAUAACGAAACUAAACACGCUGGGAGUCCAAUGGAAGGCAAGGUGUGAGCACGACAAAAAGCCACACAAAUUUGUUUGCAUGCAAUUUGGACGUCUGUAACAACGUCAUGGGCCAUAAAAGUCGCCGAAGAAGUAGGCCUAACGACAACCC